rnacentral:tRNA from 1 species
CGGGGUGUGGCGCAGAUUGGCAGCGCGCUACCUUGGGGUGGUAGAGGCCGUGGGUUCAAGUCCCGUCACUCCGACCA